AUUGAACGCUGGCGGCAUGCCUAACACAUGCAAGUCGAACGGCAGCAUGGUCUAGCUUGCUAGACUGAUGGCGAGUGGCGGACGGGUGAGUAGCGCGUAGGAAUAUACCUUAAAGAGGGGGACAACUUGGGGAAACUCAAGCUAAUACCGCAUAAUUUCCUUGGAAAAAAGCUGGGGACCGCAAGGCCUGGCGCUUUAAGAAUAGCCUGCGUCCGAUUAGCUAGUUGGUAGGGUAAAGGCCUACCAAGGCGACGAUCGGUAGCUGGUCUGAGAGGAUGACCAGCCACACUGAAACUGAGAGACGGUCCAGACUCCUACGGGAGGCAGCAGUGGGGAAUAUUGGACAAUGGGGGCAACCCUGAUCCAGCGAUGCCGCGUGUGUGAAGAAGGCCUGAGGGUUGUAAAGCACUUUCAGUGGGGAGGAGAUAGAUUUGGUUAAGAGCUGAGUUUAGAGACGUUACCCACAGAAGAAGCACCGGCUAACUCCGUGCCAGCCGCCGCCGUAA
rnacentral:rRNA from 1 species